GUUUUUUUUUUCCUAUGAUUAGUUAUUUAUUAUUUUUAAUUGUGUAACACAAGAAAAAUUGCCAACAACCAAACAAUAUUCGCAACAUUCGCAAAAAAGAAUACGAAAAAGAGUCAAGUGCGAAAAAAGUGAAGUGAAGUGAAGUAAUGUGAUCGUUGCAUUGGAGUUAACGCAUGCAUUCGGCCAGGCCAAUUCCUUGAAGACAACAACAUCGACAGCAGCGACAGAGAGACAGCGCCAACGCCGACGACGCCGACAGCAGAGACAGCGACAGCGACAGCGACAAGGCUGCUGUCCCAGGUACUCGGAUACCCGGGUGUCUCUACCCCAUACCCAUACCCAAAUCCCCAGACUGCCCACCUGUCGCAUAAGCAAAUUUUUGCUUCUUUUUUUUUUUUUUG